rnacentral:rRNA from 1 species
AACGUAGGAGCCAAGCGUUAUCCGAAUUCACUGGGCGUAAAGCGCGUGCAGGCGGCCUGUUAAGUUGGAUGUGAAAUCUCCUGGCUCAACUGGGAGAGGACGUUCAAUACUGGCGGGCUAGAGGGCAAUAGAGGGAGGUGGAAUUCCGGGUGUAGUGGUGAAAUGCGUAGAUAUCCGGAGGAACACCAGUGGCGAAAGCGGCCUCCUGGAUUGCACCUGACGCUCAGACGCGAAAGCUAGGGGAG